rnacentral:rRNA from 1 species
GUAGAAGAAGCUUGCUUUUUUGAGACCGGCGCACGGGUGAGUAACGCGUAUGCAACCUACCUUAUACAGGGGAAUAGCCCGAAGAAAUUCGGAUUAAUGCUCCAUGGUUUAUCGAUAUGGCAUCGUAUUGAUAAUAAAGAUUUAUCGGUAUAAGAUGGGCAUGCGUAUCAUUAGCUAGUUGGUGUGGUAACGGCAUACCAAGGCAACGAUGAUUAGGGGUCCUGAGAGGGAGAUCCCCCACACUGGUACUGAGACACGGACCAGACUCCUACGGGAGGCAGCAGUGAGGAAUAUUGGUCAAUGGAGGCAACUCUGAACCAGCCAUGCCGCGUGCAGGAUGACGGUCCUAUGGAUUGUAAACUGCUUUUGUACAGGAAGAAACCUCCCUACGAGUAGGGACUUGACGGUACUGUAAGAAUAAGGAUCGGCUAACUCCGUGCCAGCAGCCGCGGUAAUACGGAGGAUCCGAGCGUUAUCCGGAAUUAUUGGGUUUAAAGGGUUCGUAGGCGGCUUUGUAAGUCAGUGGUGAAAUUUCCUAGCUUAACUAGGACACUGCCAUUGAUACUGCAGAGCUUGAAUAAUAUGGAAGUAACUAGAAUAUGUAGUGUAGCGGUGAAAUGCUUAGAUAUUACAUGGAAUACCAAUUGCGAAGGCAGGUUACUACGUAUUUAUUGACGCUGAUGAACGAAAGCGUGGGGAGCGAACAGGAUUAGAUACCCUGGUAGUCCACGCCGUAAACGAUGGAUACUAGCUGUUCGGUUUUCGGACUGAGUGGCUAAGCGAAAGUGAUAAGUAUCCCACCUGGGGAGUACGUUCGCAAGAAUGAAACUCAAAGGAAUUGACGGGGGCCCGCACAAGCGGUGGAGCAUGUGGUUAAUUCGAUGAUACGCGAGGAACCUUA